AGAUAUUACAGUUUGUAUGAAAGAUGACAACAAUGUGCAAUUCUGUUGCGAUUUUACUUCUUCUUGUUAUUAUUACGAAUCAUGGUAAAUAUCCCUAAAUUAGAAUUAUUGGUACACUUGACCACUUUAUCACUAACAACAUAUGAAAUGCAGGUUUUGAGAAAACAAUAAAAACUUACUUAUAAAAUGAAACAGCAAGCCAUAAAUUCUACAAUUCUAGACAUAUCUCCAUUCGAGCAACAAAAGACCCCACAUAAUCCAAUUAUUGACCUUCUUACUUAGUUACAAUAUACCCCACUAAAAUCCCCGUCCGCUGAUGAUAUUGUACUCAACCUACAGAAAUAAAUAUAUUGCAUUACUAGAAAUAUAAAAAGUGUAUUGUUCUUUGUAUUAAAGUGAAAAUCCAAAACCGCUACCUUUAUUUCAGGGAGGGGUAAAAAAGAUUUGCCAUUAUUUUUUUUCCUCGUGAAUUAAACAAAAAUGUCGCAAUAAUUUAAGCAAAUAUCACAUCAGAUACAACUUAAUUGUAACCAAAGUUACAUGAUAUUUUUUAUACAACUAUCCAGUCAACAAUUACUCUUCGAUUUUUAAAGUAGAUUAAAAUGUAAGGUCUGUUUUAAAAAACUUUACAAAUUAAAUUAAGACACAGAAAUAUAUAAACUUAUGCAGUUCAUGCAGAAUGCACAUAUUCAAGCUAGAUUUACAUUCUUUUCAGUUAUAAAUGUAGAAUCACGUUGCACAAGCGCCUGGGAGCGUCACUGUACAAGAUAUUGUCGAAACUCACCUAAAAAUAGCUUAAGAAGUUCCUGCUAUUAUAACGGUAAAAUAUAUCGAUGCACAUGUUAUUUAACUGACGGUAUAGCUGGAUAGUUUUAGAGGUUCGUAUUCAUUAUCAUUUAUCAUUUCCAAUGACUUUUUUUAUCAUUUAAACCCAUUUUGUUUAGCUCUCUGUAAAUUUAAAAAGACAACAACGAGAAAUAAGAUUCAUUUAUAAACUUCAAACAAGGUUUUUAUAAAUUCUUGCAUCUCAUUAUAGGUAUAGAAUGCUGUUCAAAAUACAAUUGUUCAAAAUCGGUCUCGAUUGAUUUCUGCAUGUUAUUCCAAAGUUUUAAAAUCGAAUUCACCGGUACAAUAGAAAAUCAAAUUAUAUUUUUUUGUGGUUUCUUGUUUUCUUUUGUAAAGAUAGAAAUUUGAAGGACACAAGUAUUCAUUAUUUAUUACAAAAAUAUUACUAUGAUAGUAUUAUGAUAUGAUUAUAAAACGGCCAUUGUUUGUUGUAGUUUAUGUUUCUAUUUAUAGAUUUAAAGCACGAGGAAACAACUUGUAAAACAAUUUGGAUUACUGACGCAUUCAAACGCACAUUGUUUUUACUAUUGAUUUUCAAAGUAAAACUUUAUCAUGUUUAUGUACAAAAUAUCUUCAACAUUUAUCUUACAUUAUAAUGAAUGUAAUAACAGUUAAAAAACCGGCAACGCAACAUAUGGAGCAGGAUCUGGUUACCCUUUCGGAGAUGAUCACUCUUGGUUUAUGGUAGGACUCAUCUAGACUGGUAGCCAGCCGUUAUUGAUAUUCUUCACAAUAUCAUUUGUAUAUUUCGAAGGCAUACUGGAUAUUUUACGGAGGGAAUCAACCUAGCAUUCAUCUUCAUCAGCCUUAAAGACAUAAGAAACCUCAAAU
rnacentral:lncRNA from 1 species